rnacentral:rRNA from 1 species
AGUGGAUGGGGGGCAACCUAGUUGUGCGUGUGUAAAGGUAGUGCCAAGAAAAGCGGUGAUCAUGAUGAAAAUCAAUUCCCGGUACCCGAAACCGACACAGGUGGGCAGGUAGAGAAUACUAAGGGGCGCGAGGUAACUCUCUCCAAGGAACUCGGCAAAAUGACCCCGUAACUUAGGGAGAAGGGGUGCCACCGAGAGGUGGUCGCAGUGAAGAGGCCCAGGCGACUGUUUAGCAAAAACAUAGGUCUCUGCAAACUCGAAAGAGGAGGUAUAGGGGCUGACGCCUGCCCAGUGCCGGAAGGUUAAAGAAGUUGGUCAGUCUUAGGAUAAAGCUAGCGACUGAAGCCCCGGUGAACGGCGGCCGUAACUAUAACGAUCCUAAGGUAGCGAAAUUCCUUGUCGGGUAAGUUCCGACCCGCACGAAAGGCGUAACGAUCUGGGCGCUGUCUCGGAGAGAGGCUCGGCGAAAUAGGAUUGUCUGUGAAGAUACGGACUACCUGCAUUUGGACAGAAAGACCCUAUGAAGCUUUACUAUAGCUUGGAAUUGUGUUCGGGCUUCCUGUGCGCAGGAUAGGUGGGAGGCGAAGAAGGUAUUCUUGUGGGGAUACUGGAGCCAACGGUGAGAUACCACUCUCAGGAGGCUAGAAUUCUAACUUAAUUAAGGACAGUUUCAGGUGGGUAGUUUGACUGGGGCGGUCGCCUCCAAAAAGGUAACGGAGGCGUACAAAGGUUCCCUCAGACUGGUUGGAAAUCAGUCGCAGAGUGCAAAGGCAGAAGGGAGCUUGACUGCGAGAAGUACAGUUCGAGCAGGGUGGAAACACGGUCUUAGUGAUCCGACGGUGCUGUGUGGAAGGGCCGUCGCUCAACGGAUAAAAGUUACUCUAGGAUAACAGGCUGAUCUCCCCCAAGAGUUCACAUCGACGGGGAGGUUUGGCACCUCGAUGUCGGCUCAUCGCAACCUGGGGCGGAAGUACGUCCCAAGGGUUGGGCUGUUCGCCCAUUAAAGCGGUACGUGAGCUGGGUUCAGAACGUCGUGAGACAGUUCGGUCCAUAUCCGAUGUAGGCGUGAGAAUAUUGAGAGGAGCCUUCCUUAGUACGAGAGGACCGGGAAGGACGCACCGCUGGUGUACCUGUUAUGAUGCCAAUUGUAAACGCAGGGUAGCCAAGUGCGGAGAGGAUAACCGCUGAAAGCAUCUAAGUGGGAAGCCCACCUCAAGAUGAGUAUUCUGGUGUAAGGUCACGGGAAGAUGACCCGUAAAUAGGCACGAGGUGGAAGUGCAGAGAUGUAUGAAGCCGAAGUGUACUAAUAGACCGUCGGCUUGAC